rnacentral:tRNA from 1 species
AGGGCCUUAGUUCAAUGGUAGAAUGUCCGCCUCCAAAGCGGAAUAUGCGGGUUCGAUUCCUGCAGGCCCUGCCA